CAUAUGCCACCUAGGGGAUGGCUUGGCUCUAGUCGCUGCUAAGGCCGUGGCAAGCUGCGAUAAGCUUGGGGUAGCCGCAUGUCAGGCUUUGAACCCAAGAUUGCCGAAUUGCGCUAUGAAUAGUGGCGCAUGCAGACGCGGGGAACUGAAGCAUCUUAGUACCCGCAGGAAAAGAAAUCAUAUGAGAUGGCGCUAGUAACGGCGAGUGAACGCGCUAAAGGGCACACCGAAUCCCUGUGCGCAAGUGCAGGGAGAUGUAGUGCAGGGUUAUUUGCAUAGCUGCGAGCCGAACGCUUUGGAAAGAGCGGCCAAAGAGAGUGACAGCCUCGUAGGCGAAGCUGUUGUGCAACUCCCUGUAAAAGAGUAGCGUGGCCUGAAUACGCCACGUGAAGAUGGGGCGUUAAACUCCAACCCUAAACAUUGACUAGAGACCGAUAGCGAACAAGUACCGCGAGGGAAAGCUGAAAAGAACCCACACGUGUGGGAGUGAAAAGAUCUGAAACUAGGUGGUUACAAGAAGGUAGGGCAUGAGCUUUGAAGUGCGCGAAGCGAACCUUGUGAAAGGCUAGCGAAACGCAUAGAGCAGUGUUCUAUCAUUCUUCUCGAAGCAAGAGCCAGGGAGUGUAUUGAAGUGGCAAGCGCAAGCUGAGCGAAAGCGAGGCCUGUAUAAGGCGGGUGCGAAAGCGCCCGAGUCACUUCAUUACGACCCGAAGCCAUUGUGAACUACGCGCGAGUAGGGCGAAGUCGAGUUGAUGCUCGAUGGAGGCCCGCAACCUGUCAUGGCGUGUCCUGUUGGGUGACUCGCGGGUAGGGGCGAUAGACCGUUCGAACAUGGCAAUAACGGGUCCCCUUCGAAGUAUCUUAAGGAUAGCCUCCGGUUAGCUCGCAUGUGCGGUAGAGCUACCGAUUAGACUGUUGGAAGCGAAAGCUUCCGCUCUCUAGUCAAACUCCGAAUGCACGUGCUGCAGAGCCGGGGAGUCGGCGGCGCUGGGUAAGCUAGCGCCACGAGACUGGAAUGACAGUGACAGAGGUUAAGGUCCCUAAAUCCUAGUUAAGUGUGUUGGAGGAAGACAUUGUCUUAGACAGUCGGGAGGUAGGCUCAGAAGCAGCCACCCUUUAAAAAACGCGUAACAGCGUACCGAUCGAGACAGUGUUUUCUGAAGAUGGACGGGGCUAAACUAGGUACCGAUACCCCUGCGUUCGCAAGAACGAGUAGAAGGGCAUGCUGUGCUGCAAGAAGCGCUUCUUUGAGGAGGCGUGGACAGCACAGUAGAGAAAAUCCUGGUGUUAGUAACAGCAAAUAAGGGUGAGAAUCCCUUACGCCUGAAGCACAAGGUUUUCCUCACAACAGUCGUUGGUGGGGAGUUAGCCGUUCCUAAGCAAGGAGCCAAUCACUACCUUGCAAAAGGGAAGCCUGUUAAUAUCCAGGCGCCAGGCACGUAGGUGUGGCAACACAAGGCAAAUUCCUGACACUUGGGGAUAGGCCGCUUGAAAAGUGCAAAUGGCUGCAGAGUCUCAUUAUGAGGAGAAGCAGCUAAAUGAACUUCGGCCAAAUUCCUGAGUCCGUGAAAAGGGAAUUUGCAACGAUCGUGCUUGAACGUACCUAGAACCAGUACAGGUGCUGCUGGCUGAAAAGGCCAAGGCGUGUCGGGACUAAAUCAGGUUAGGGAACUCGGCAAGUUAGUGGCGUACGGUAACAAUAAGCCAUGUCUGCGCUCUGUAAGCGCAGAUUGCAAUAACAAGGGGGAGGCAACUGUUUCUUUAAAACACAACUCACCGCUAAGCAGUAAUGCUUUGUACAGUGGGUGACGCCUGCUCACCGCUAGUACGCGAAACCCGCAAGGGAUAAGCGCUAGCAAAGAGCGGGGGUAACUCUGACCCUCUUUAGGUAGCGUAAUACCUCGUCGCUUAAUAGGCGACUUGCAUGAAGGGCGUAAUGACCCCCCCAAUGUCCCAACCUGGUGCCCGGUGAACUCACUGCGUGGUGUACAUGCCACGUACCUUCAGUGGGAAACGAAGUCUCUAUGAAACUUGACUACAGUCUGUUGUUGUUGUACUGCAAAGGUUGCAUAGCGUAAGUGGGAGCGUCGAUGUGCACGCUUCGGCGUGCACGGAGCGACAAUGUAACACCACUCUUCUUUUGCGGUAUGACUAACCGCAAAGGGACAGCGACAGAUGGGUAGUUAGACUGGGCGGUUGCUUUCGAUAAGGAAACGAAAGUGACCAAUGCUCUGCUUAGGCGGGUUGGAAACCCGCUGUCAAGCUUAAAGGCAAAUGCAGGGCUGACUGUACCUCGAAAAGCGGGAGGUGCAGACUCGAAAGAGGGGCUUACCGAGCGUUGGUGGCCUCUUUAACAGGGCCCCAACCUGUCAGAAAAGUUACUCUAGAGGUAACCGGUUCGUGGCUGGUGAGAGUUCACAUCGACCCAGCCGUUUGAUACACCGAUAUGGGCUUAGGUCAUCCUGGUGGUGCAAGAGCCGCCAAGGGCCAGGCUGCUCGCCUGUCAAAGACCUACAUGAGCUGAGUUAAGUCCGCCGCGAGGCAGGACGGUAGUAUCUACUGAAGGUGUUAGUGUCAGAGGAUAAGUUACCCCUAGUACGAGAGGAAUGGGGUAACGGCGCCUCCGGUUUAGCGGUUGUGCUCGCAUGGCCGCGUAGCUGCGCGCUAAGGAAUAAGUCCUGAAAGCAUCUAAGGACGAAGUCCAAUCCGAAACGAGACACUUAGGGUGGUCGUAUUACAUGACUUGAUAGGGCGGCUGUGUAAGCCGGGAGCGCAAGCGACCGGUCAGCAGACCGUUACUAAAACCUAAUUCUUAGUUUGUUC
rnacentral:rRNA from 1 species